rnacentral:rRNA from 1 species
AUGAACGCUGGCGGCGUGCCUCAUCCAUGCAAGUCGAGCGAACAGACGAGGAGCUUGCUCCUCUGACGUUAGCGGCGGACGGGUGAGUAACCCGUGGAUAACCUACCUAUAAGACUGGGAUAACUUCGGGAAACCGGAGCUAAUACCGGAUAAUAUAUUGAACCGCAUGGUUCAAUAGUGAAAGACGGUUUUGCUGUCACUUAUAGAUGGAUCCGCGCCGCAUUAGCUAGUUGGUAAGGUAACGGCUUACCAAGGCAACGAUGCGUAGCCGACCUGAGAGGGUGAUCGGCCACACUAGAACUGAGACACGGUCCAGACUCCUACGGGAGGCAGCAGUAGGGAAUCUUCCGCAAUGGGCGAAAGCCUGACGGAGCAACGCCGCGUGAGUGAUGAAGGUCUUCGGAUCGUAAAACUCUGUUAUUAGGGAAGAACAAAUGUGUAAGUAACUAUGCACGUCUUGACGGUACCUAAUCAGAAAGCCACGACUAACUACGUG